AACGCAUAUUGCGCCCUUUGGUAUUCCGAAGGGCAUGCCUGUUCGAGCGUCAUUAUCAACCCUCAAGCCUGGCUUGUCAUUGAACCUCUUGUCGUUACAAGACGGGUUCGAAAGAUAAUGACGGUGUCGCGAUUGACCCUAGAUGCAACGAGCUUCACAGCACGCAUGUUAGUGGUCAGCCGGCCCCGGUCUUAACCUUAUUUUAAUGGUUGACCUCGGAUCAGGUAGGAUUACCCGCUGAACUUAA
rnacentral:misc_RNA from 1 species